UUUCAUAUUAAUAAAAGCAGAGAGUUAGAAAGUUAUUUUAUUUUUUAUUCUCUUGUACGUGUGUUGUGAUCUUGGGCCUGAACCAACAUUUGGUAUCAGAGCCUAGGGCUCGAGUGCAGACAGUUCGCAGGUUUGAGGGUCGUGUUCAGAGAAGGGGGUGCAGUCCCUUUAAACUGUAGAUCUGGGAAAAGAAGAAGACGGUAGAGAGUUGUGAUAAGAAAGCAAGCACCUGGUUUAAUUAACAGCCGCCAUUGAAGAAAGAAAAGAAGCAAGCCACAGCCAGACCAGGUGAUUUGAUUUUCUGAAGAAAAAAAAAGGGAAAGUCAGCAAGGAGCACAACAAGCAUAGUGGUCGAUCAAGAAGACAUCGAUCAAAGAAGGUAUAUGUUGUGAAAUUGCCAUCAUGAAGUGAGUACGGUGGGAUUCGAGUGACCGACGCCGGAGUAGAAGAACCGGCAUGAAGAGUCGAAGAGAAGUAAGAGACCGCGCCAGAGAACCGUGAUCAGAAAGCGAGUUCUGGCGUUAGACCGAAAGACGAGCCGCAAAAGAUCGGGGGGCAGCUAGACCGAGAGAAUGAAAGAAAGCAGCAAGGGUAGUAAUUUCUGGUCGAUUAGAUCAGCGGGAAAGAGAAGGUGAAAGGUUCACCAAAGAGAAAGAAGGUGUUGCCGGAAAAGAAGAAAGGAAGCUCUCCGGUAAGAAAAUGUUGCUGGGCAGAAAGAAUCGAUCACUGACUAUAGCAAGAUUGGAAGAACAUAGCAAGAAUGCAAGAGUAAGAAAGUAA
rnacentral:lncRNA from 1 species